AACAGUGUGUGGCGGAGUGGUUAACGCGACAGAUUCGAAUUAUUGUUCUAUCUGUUCCACUUGUUGGGCGCAUGUUCGAAUCAUGCCAGUGUCG